GCCAGGAGAGCCUCCACCUGCCACCCAGCUCUGUCCAUGUUUCCAUCACACAGCUCUGCAGCAGAAGGAACUUCAGUAAAGACACUGGUUUGUAAUGAGACGAGACAAGCGUUCCAGUGUCACACGACAUUGUUUAUUACUAAAAGGAGCAGAAUUUCUCUUUCAUCUUGACAGUGUUCCUUGCUUUCGUAACAGUAGGAUUUAAACUGUUACGUUCAUUUAGGAAAACUAUUUGAUUUUCAUUUUGUAAGUAACCAAGCUAUCUUUCCAGCUUAAAAACAAAGAAAAAAGGCUCAGGGUAACUUUUUAAACCACUUCGUCAAUAAGAGAAGUUCUGUUUUUUGUCACUGCACGGAAUGAUUGUACACAGUGUUAGCAGACAGUUCACAUGCGCCGGUCCGACUUGGAAGGAAAGGCAGGUUAACACCGUUUUCUGUCCGAGUUCACAGAGGUGUUUGCAGCAGGCUCAGUUGCUUCCACAGCUGGAACGAGGGUUCCUCUCCCGCGUGGCUUCCCUGAGCCGAGAGGCCCCUGAGGGUUUUUUCUCCACUGGGCUCUGGGGAUGGGGUUUCUGUGGAAAUGGCAGAUGGUGCGCAUGAGCAGAGUCCUGCUAGAGAGGUCAGCUCAGCGUCCAGGAGGGGAUGCCAUCGGCAGAGUGCCUGCGCCCGAGGAGGUCACGGACGUGCUUGGGAAGGUGCUGCCCGAGAAUUCUGCUCUGAUGUGGCCGUACUUGGACAUGCGGGCUCCGCAGAGGCCCAUGCGAGAAAGCCGGGGGUUCCCAGGCUGUGGGCGCAGGACGGGCCAGGCACCACCCUGCAGGGCCCACCCCCCUGCCCCCGCACCCUCACACCCAUCUUCCUUUCUCAGCCUGACCCCAGGGCCUGGGAGUCCCCGGCAGACCGGCCCUCCUUGCCCAGCAGUGACCGCCCUUUAUGGACUGGGCGCCUGACAGAGCCGCUGUGGAGGAGGAGUUGGUUGUCAUGGUCGGGGGAGGCAGCCCUUGGGCUGGGUGCCGUUGGUGGUCAAGGUUGACCCCAUAUCCGGUGGAAUCUCGGUCUGUUCCACACACAAUCGUGCGGGAAGCUCUGGGACCCGAAGGCUGUUCUGAUCUUGGGUCACAAGUUCUCACAGCAGCCUGGGGUCACCAGGGACUAGACCCAGCAUUAGCCUUUUUAGGGAGCUGCCUAGUUGCUGGGCUGAGCUUCAUUGCGGGCCCAGGAAGAUGACCAAGAAAGGCAGAGCAGAGCCCUGUCAGCCACUCCUUGGGCUGGAAGAGGCUUCCUCGGUAUGGAUGGCAUCUGUUAACAAGCAGUGGUGGUUUGGCCGGAGGCCUCUGUGGGGCACAGACAUGGCGUGAAGGAUGGCAGAUGGGUGUGCACACUCGGGAGGACAGGCGGGUGGCAUUGGCCUGAGCAGGCGGCGCAGGCGCACGAGAAGGGUGUGUCUGAGACAGGAUGUUUAUCCCAAAGGCCAGGAGUAGACGAGGCGGACGAGUGGCCAUGAGGUAGGCGUGUGAGGUUGGCGCGUGAAGUUAUCUGGUCCGCUCCACCACCCCGGAAACCCAGCAGCCUGGGCCUAGCACCCAGACACACAUGGAGUGAGUUCAUGCCCAGGCUGUGACCUGUCCCCAUCACGGGGCCGCUUGCUUCUCCCAGGCUUAGGAACAAGCUGGCACCGAGCGUUUCACUGCGUGGCAGCACUCACAGCCAUUCACAGCUCAGGCACUUCUACUGGGGGUUCAUGAAGAAACAGACUGAAGAAGCGUUUAUUUGUUCCUAAUGGGUGGGCCGAAGUUUGGGAGGAGCAUUCAGCUUUCCAGAGCACGGCCUCGCCUGUCCUGAGCGCCCUGCGACCCUGUUGCUAGCCUGGGGUGCUGAGGUCCUCUGCUCUGGGGGCGCUGACUGCCCCUCUGCAGCCAGCUGGUCCCCGCCUCUUCUCAUCGGGAGGCGCUGGCCUGCAGGGCCUUCGUGGUUUGCCAGAGACCCUUGUUCCGUCCCUUUCCAGCACCCACCCCCAGCCCGCUGUGCGUUCCGUAGUUCAUUUUCCAGGCAGGGGACGCGUAGUGAAAAUACAGCCUGGCUUUUUUUCUUUUCAACGAUGGCAGCUGCACUUUUCCUCGCUUGUUUUGAAGGCUGAGCCGGCAACCUCCUUGGCACUUGGGGACAGUUGCUUCCUCAGUUUCUGCAUACCGCCUGCCUCACCUGACACACAGCCUGGGCGUGAGAGAAGCCAACCAGGUGCCUGAGCUGACUGACUCCCUCCUCUCUCCAACCUCCAAUCUCUUCUCUUCAUCCUCCUCCCUCCAGUCUCCUCCAUCCACCCUCCUCCCUCUGCCUUAUUUGGAAUUGGAGUCCUGGUCCUGGGCUAGAGGCAGACCCUGGCCCGGGAGAGGUUCUCAAGGCACUGCGGGAGGGCACCAUCAUGAUGUCCUGAAGCUUGCUGCACCCGGUGUUGUCAGCUGGCUGAAGGGAGAAACGGUCACAGCACCCACAGCUAUGGAAGGUGACGUCCGAAUAUCUGUUAGGCACCUUGAUGUCAAGUUUCCAAGACCAAAGGCAAGAAUAGUCGGACCAAACUUAGGAAAAGUCAGAGAAACUGAGCAUGACCUAGAAGAGGCAGAUGGCCCUUCUCCUCCUCUCCUGCCGAGUGUUCUGUCGCACAUACGACGUGAAAUCCACACUGUACUGUGAAGACUGAGGGGAGGUCUUGGAUGUGCCUUCCGGGGCCACCACAGGCCCCAGGGCCUCUUUACUCCCACAGGUUCAGCUGACGAUAAAACUUCCCGAGGAAGGAGUAAAGGACAAUCAAAAACCUGAACUGAAAAAGUACGAAAAACAUUUCAUUUCCCUCGGGUUCUCCCCACUAGGUCUGCAGUGCCUUGGGGGUGACUGAUGGCCCUCAGUGAGACCAGGUGGCCGUGUGAUUCUGAAGGUGAAAAGGAGCAGGUGUGGGUAGAGACAGGGGCGUGGUUAGAGCCAGGGGCGUGGUUAGAGCCAGGGGUGUGGUUACAGCCUGGAGUGUGGACACCCGGUGGACCGCUGGCCCACGGCCUGGCUUAGGGCCUCGCAGGGGAGCGAGUUGAGUGCAUGCGGGGAGGGCCCAUCAUUCUACAAUGUGUAUCUUUUUGUUUUUGAGACGGACUCGCUCUGUUGCCCAGGCUGGAGUGCAGUGGCGUGAUCUAGGCUCACUGCAACCUCCGCCUCCCAGGUUCAAGUGAUUCUCCUGCCUCAGCCUCCCAAGUAGCUGGGACUACAGGCCCCUGCUACCACACCUGGCAAAUUUUUGUAUUUGUUUUAGUAGAGAUGGGGUUUCGCCACGUUGGUUAGGCUGGUCUCGAUCUCCUGACCUUGUGAUCCACCCACCUCGGCCUCCCAAAGUGCUGGGAUUACAGGCGUGAGCCACUGCGCCCGGCCGUGCCCAGCUUUUCUACAUCACCACCGUUGGGUCAGUUACCUCGGCUCAGGCAUUGCACACCUAAUCUGUAUCUUUGGGAAUCCUGUGAGCUAAUGGUUCUAGAUCCAAAAUGAUGGAUCAAGAGAAUGUUUCAAGUUCCCGAAGUUAUCCAGGCACAUUCUGUGCGCUACUGAACUUCAGAAAGCACCAGUCCAUCCAGUGUGCAGAGUUUGGUCAACGGGCCAGCCAUGGGCACACACAGGUUCACCAGAGACCCCGGGGCGGAGGGUCUCUUCCAGCUUUUCCAGGACAGGGCUCAUCUGUUCCUGGGCCAGGGGUGGAUCUGUUUUGCAGGUUCGCAAGGGUGGGGAGACGCCAGCCUGGCCUAUGGGCUGUCCAUGCCCACCCCUCACAGACCAUGCUGCCAUCCGGAGGGGAUGCCACUUUCUCCUGGCCUCCGGGAUGCACAGCAGCAGCCAGCCCGGCACACACUGUCCUGCCUCGCCCCGCCCUGCCUGACUAUGGAGGUGAGCCGGUCCCCCUGGGCCUGGGUGGAAGGACUGUGCGCCUGUCAGGGAAGGCCGAGGCUCUGGACAGGUGGGAAGCAGUCUUCUUCUUAAUCACCCCAUGUGGAAACCAAUUAAAGAUUCGAUUCUCUCAGACCCAGGGCAUUUUAGCCUUGGUUGAAUCCUGGUUGAAUCCUCCUGGAAUUCACAGGGAAGUGGCUCUGCCCUCUCUGCCCUUGCUGCUAGAAGGCAAGGGGGCCAGCCUCAGCUUGGUUUUCUAGGUUGUGUUACGGCAGCAGCUGACGGCCCCUAGGCCUGGAUCUGCAUGGCUUCGCUCAGGGCACCUGCCUCCGUGCAUGUCUCAUGGUGUGAACGUGUCUCCUGCUCACAGGUACCAUUUUGUGUCAUGCAGUUACUGGAAUGUACAAAAGCAGCUGUGGUCUUUGCAAAGAGUUGCAGACAAUUACAAAACUCAUCUCCCAGCAUGGGUGAUGGUGAGAGCUACAAAGAGCAGGAGUCUUUAUUUGGUUCACUUCUGGUCUGCAGCAACCACUUGAUAUUAAAAAAUUGAAAAGAUGUCACAUCCCUUUAGCAAGCGACAUCAUCAGAAACGUAUGUGACCUUCAGUCCUCCCUCCCUCUCCUGUGCCGCCCCCAGACCAGGCUGCGAGAAGGAGCGGGGAGUGAACAUACAACGGAAAACAAUAAAACUGAAUGUAACUGGAA